rnacentral:rRNA from 1 species
GACGAACGCUGGCGGCGUGCCUAAUACAUGCAAGUAGAACGCUGAAGGAGGAGCUUGCUUCUCUGGAUGAGUUGCGAACGGGUGAGUAACGCGUAGGUAACCUGCCUGGUAGCGGGGGAUAACUAUUGGAAACGAUAGCUAAUACCGCAUAAUAGUAGAUGUUGCAUGACAUUUGCCUCAAAGGUGCAAUUGCAUCACUACCAGAUGGACCUGCGUUGUAUUAGCUAGUUGGUGGGGUAACGGCUCACCAAGGCGACGAUACAUAGCCGACCUGAGAGGGUGAUCGGCCACACUGGGACUGAGACACGGCCCAGACUCCUACGGGAGGCAGCAGUAGGGAAGCGUCGGCAAUGGACGGAAGUCUGACCGAGAAACGCCGCGUGAGUGAAGAAGGUUUUCGGAUCGUAAAGCUCUGUUGUAAGAGAAGAACGAGUGUGAGAGUGGAAAGUUCACACUGUGACGGUAUCUUACCAGAAAGGGACGGCUAACUACGUG